CGCUGCUCGGACAGGUAACCACUGGAACGGUGGCUAAUACUGGAUGUGCCGAAAGGUGAAAGGCUUGCUGCCUGAAGAUGAGCUCGCGUCUGAUUGACUAGUAGGUGGGGUAAGAGCCUACCUACCUAGGCGACGAUCAGUAGCUGGUCUGAGAGGAUGAUCAGCCACACUGGGACUGAGACACGGCCCAGACUCCUACGGGAGGCAGCAGUGGGGAAUUUUCCGCAAUGGGCGAAAGCCUGACGGAGCAAUACCGCGUGAGGGAGGAGGCUCUUGGGUUGUAAACCUCUUUUCUCAGGGAAGAACACAAUGACGGUACCUGAGGAAUCAGCAUCGGCUAACUCCUUGCCAGCAGCCGCGGUAAUACCGACGAUGCAAGCGUUAUCCGGAAUGAUUGGGCGUAAAGCGUCCGCUCGUGGCUGUGUAAGUCUGCUGUUAAAGAGUCUAGCUCAACUAGAUAAAGGCAGUGGAAACUACACGGCUAGAGUGCGUUCGGGGCAGAGGAAUUCCUGGUGUAGCGGUGAAAUGCGUAUAGAUCAGGAAGAACACCGGUGGCGAAGGCGCUCUGCUAUGCCGCAACUGACACUGAUGGACGAAAGCUAGGGGAGCGAACGGGAUUAUAUACC
rnacentral:rRNA from 1 species